AUGGGGAGGGGGCGGCCAUGGGGAGCCGGAUCUGGCAUUGUCCGAGCUCCGAGGGCUUUUCCAGCCCUCUUCCCCAACCCUGGGCCCAUUUCGCAGAUGAGAAAACAAAGGCCCAGAGGAGGGCGUAGAGAGUGCUCCGGGGCUGGAAGAAGCAGAGAACAGUCUAGAACCCAGCUGUCAAAGCUUCUGCCUCCCCAAGAUGUGGGCACAAGACAGAGCAGCUUAGCGGAAGACCAACCGCGAAAGCUGUGGAGAAGCAGAAGGAAGGCCUUAGUGAAUGAGACCAGGGCACUCGGGUUUCUAGUGAGACUUCGUUUAUAAUCCUUAUUCCUUAAGGGGGUCCUUGUCCCGACAUUGAAGCAUUCUGCUUCUCCCAAAUAGCAAGAAACCAAGUCUGCUCCCAUUGCCCGCACCUCGUUUCUGAGCGGUUUGCGGGAUUCCCGCGAAAGUGGCCCAUCCAGUCGGUGUCCCAGAACGGCCAGGAUUCUCCGCCCCAUCCUGUUCGCCACCCACCACAUCCGGGUGGCUUCAUGCCAAGGAGCUGAAUCUAGUUGGGGAGACACAGAAGCAGAAAUUCUGAGGAAUCAUUCACCACAGUGCAGAAGGUUUUCAGAAUCACCAGGAAAACAUCUACCAUAGCCUAGGCUGGGCUGAAGCCUUCUGUGGGAGUGGAGCUCCGGGGCUGACUGCAGAUCUCAACCAGACACAGUCCCUCAAGCAACUGGAUUCAAAGAUCCAAAUCAGCACACCACCUGGCAUGUAGUGCAAGUGACCUUCUAAUGCAAAUGACCAGCUCCAAGCAUGAGGACCCUCCUCUGAGGCCAUUGUCCGGGCCUCAACAGUGCCUGUUGGAUGCUGCCUGCUUCAGAAGCCUCACAUCCCUCUGCUCUAGAGCUUUGCUUAGGAGAGACUGCACUUUCCUGGGGCUCAUCAAAUGUGUUUCCUCUGUAAACCCCAUCUCCCUUUUGGGUCAGCUACCUUUUCUUUUGGCCUCAGUUCACCUGUGUCAAGUCCUCAUGGUAGACCAGGCUUGUCCCCUGUGUCUCCACACAGCUCUUUUUUGGUAUUCCUGCAGCCUCAUUGGUAAUUAUUUACAAAUGCCUGAUCUACUCUAGGCCAGGGACCAUAUCCCCAGUACCUAGAACACACCAUGUACCCACUAAGCACUUAGUGCAAAUGUGUUGUCUUCUCACUUGUAUCCUGUGUCCCCUUCUGCCCAUCACAUGCUCUCUCUGGGCCUCACCUUUCUCUUCUGCAGACUGAGGGGGCUAAUAUGCCCACUGGGUUUCAAGUUGUGUUUUGAGAGCCCUACGAUGUCUUUGGGUUCCAGCUCCCUGUUCAACAGAGCCAUCUUUAAAGGGCAUGUUGCCUUCAUCCACUGUAAACAUGGACCUUCUGAAAAGUAUUUUUCUAAAUAGAGUUUGAAAAUAUGGCUGUUCAAAAAAGUUUUUGACUCCUGACUAAUUA